rnacentral:rRNA from 1 species
UACGAAGGGUGCAAGCGUUACUCGGAAUUACUGGGCGUAAAGCGUGCGUAGGUGGUUCGUUAAGUCUGAUGUGAAAGCCCUGGCUCAACCUGGGAAUGGCAUUGGAAACUGGCGACCUAGAGUGCGGUAGAGGGCAGUGGAAUUCCCGGUGUAGCAGUGAAAUGCGUAGAGAUCGGGAGGAACAUCUGUGGCGAAAGCGGCUUCCUGGACCAGUACCGACGU